rnacentral:lncRNA from 1 species
GUGAACUACACCUUAAAGUUCUUUUUCUAUUCUACUGGGUUGCUACUAUAUAUAGUUAUGUGUCACUGAUGGAUUGUGAGAGCUCACUAGGGUUUCUCAAGAUCGACAAUUCUUGAUGAGUUAGAGUAAAAUUAUUCCAACCCAUUGAAAAGAGUUUCAAUGAUACUAUGAUAGAGAUCAUUAUAUAUCUCACUACCGGAUAGAAUUGAACCUAUGGGGUCAUACAAUAAAGGGA